CCUCCAGAAGGCUUGGACACGGUUCGCCAACAAGUCUCCGGGUUUACGGAAUAAAGAGCUUCGAAUAAAACCUGUACGGUGCUUGAGGCAAGAGGACGGGAAUAAUUUAUGCGGGUUCUACGUUUGCGAGUUCAUUCGCCAGAAUACCCACCAUAUGACCAAAAUUUUGGAACAACUUGAUAUCCAACGGUUGCGGGACGGUCUUCUAGCAACCGAGCGUGUACGGGCAAUUCAAGAAGAACUGGAGGGAUUCUUACUUGAGCAAGUCAUAGCUCCAGA